UCGUGUCGUGAGAUGUUCGGUUAAGUCCGGCAACGAGCGCAACCCACGUCCUUAGUUACCAGCAUUUAGUUGGGUACCCUAGGGAGACUGCCGGUGAUAAGCCGGAGGAAGGUGUGGAUGACGUCAAGUCCUCAUGGCCCUUACGGGUUGGGCUACACACGUGCUACAAUGGCGAUGACAGUGGGUUAAUCCCCAAAAAUCGUCUCAGUUCGGAUUGUCGUCUGCAACUCGACGGCAUGAAGUCGGAAUCGCUAGUAAUCGCGUAACAGCAUGACGCGGUCGAAUACGUUCCCGGGCCUU
rnacentral:rRNA from 1 species